rnacentral:rRNA from 1 species
GAUGAACGCUGGCGGCGUGCCUAAUACAUGCAAGUCGAGCGAACAGACGAGGAGCUUGCUCCUCUGACGUUAGCGGCGGACGGGUGAGUAACACGUGGAUAACCUACCUAUAAGACUGGGAUAACUUCGGGAAACCGGAGCUAAUACCGGAUAAUAUAUUGAACCGCAUGGUUCAAUAGUUAAAGACGGUUUUGCUGUCACUUAUAGAUGGAUCCGCGCCGCAUUAGCUAGUUGGUAAGGUAACGGCUUACCAAGGCGACGAUGCGUAGCCGACCUGAGAGGGUGAUCGGCCACACUGGAACUGAGACACGGUCCAGACUCCUACGGGAGGCAGCAGUAGGGAAUAUUCCGCAAUGGGCGAAAGCCUGACGGAGCAACGCCGCGUGAGUGAUGAAGGUCUUCGGAUCGUAAAACUCUGUUAUUAGGGAAGAAAAAAUGUGUAAGUAACUAUGCACGUCUUGACGGUACCUAAUCAGAAAGCCACGGCUAACUACGUG